rfam:Schistosoma rodhaini strain Burundi genome assembly, scaffold: SROB_scaffold0004420
CCACUGCUGAGGAGUCCCACAAUAGAACAAAACGGCCGUCGAGUGG